CAGUCGUACUUACGGGUAAUCAGCCUUUUGGGUGUGGUUUUGUGGAGCGUGAGGAGUUAAACGCCUUCAUGCCUGCAUAUUCGUGCACUUUGGGUGUACUUGCCCGUGUGUAAGUUAACAUCAAUUUUGGUGGUCAUAAAAUGGCUGGAGGAAUGUAGCUUCGAUCUCGUAUUGAAGUGUUGUAGCCGUUCGGUAGAUGUGAUGAUCGGGGAUUGGAGGAUUG
rnacentral:rRNA from 1 species